rnacentral:rRNA from 1 species
GGUGAACGCUGGCGGCGUGCCUAACACAUGCAAGUCGAACGAUGAUGGAGAGCUUGCUCUCCUGAUUAGUGGCGCACGGGUGAGUAUACCAUAGAUAAUGUACCUCUUAGUUCGGGAUAGCCACUGGAAACGGUGAUUAAUACCGGAUACUCCUUCUUGUCUUAAGGCAAGUCGGGAAAGUUUUUUCGCUAAGAGAUCAGUCUAUGUCCUAUCAGCUAGUUGGUGAGGUAAUGGCUCACCAAGGCAAUGACGGGUAUCUGGUUUGAGAGGAUGAUCAGACACACUGGAACUGAGACACGGUCCAGACUCCUACGGGAGGCAGCAGUGAGGAAUAUUGCACAAUGGAGGAAACUCUGAUGCAGCAACGCCGCGUGGAGGAUGACGCAUUUCGGUGUGUAAACUCCUUUUAAGAGGGAAGAUAAUGACGGUACCUCUUGAAUAAGCACCGGCUAACUCCGUGCCAGCCGCCGCUGUAAAAC